UUAUAUGAGAGUUUGAUCCUGGCUCAGGAUGAACGCCGGCGGUGUGCCUAAUACAUGCAAGUCGAGCGCACUGGCCCAACUGAUAUGACGUGCUUGCACUGAUUUGACGAUGGAUUACCAGUGAGCGGCGGACGGGUGAGUAACACGUGGGCAACCUGCCCUAAAGCGGGGGAUAACAUUUGGAAACAGGUGCUAAUACCGCAUAACUACGAAAACCACAUGGUUUUCGUAUAAAAGAUGGUUUCGGCUAUCACUUUAGGAUGGGCCCGCGGUGCAUUAGCUAGUUGGUAGGGUAACGGCUUACCAAGGCAAUGAUGCAUAGCCGAGUUGAGAGACUGAUCGGCCACAAUGGAACUGAGACACGGUCCAUACUCCUACGGGAGGCAGCAGUAGGGAAUCUUCCACAAUGGGCGCAAGCCUGAUGGAGCAACACCGCGUGAGUGAAGAAGGGUUUCGGCUCGUAAAACUCUGUUGUUGAAGAAGAACGUGCGUGAGAGUAACUGUUCAUGCAGUGACGGUAUUCAACCAG
rnacentral:ncRNA from 1 species